UGGGGAAUAUUGGACAAUGGGCGAAAUCCUGAUCCAGCCUUGCCGCGUGUGUGAAGAAGGUCUUCGGAUUGUAAAGCACUUUAAGUUGGGAGGAAGGGCAGUAAUCGAAUACCUUUCUGUUUUGACGUUACCGACAGAAUAAGCACCGUCUAACUCUGUGCCAGCAGCCGCGGUAAUACAGAGGGUGCAAGCGUUAAUCGGAAUUACUGGGCGUAAAGCGCGCGUAGGUGGUUCGUUAAGUUGAAUGUGAAAGCCCCGGGCUCAACCUGGGAGCUGCAUCCAAAACUGGCGAGCUAGAGUAGGGCAGAGGGUGGUGGAAUUUCCUGUGUAGCGGUGAAAUGCGUAGAUAUAGGAAGGAACACCAGUGGCGAAGGCGACCACCUGGGAUCAUACUGACACUGAGGUGAGAAAGCGUGGGGAGCAAACAGG
rnacentral:rRNA from 1 species